rnacentral:snRNA from 1 species
GUGCUUGCUUCGGUAGCACAUAUACUAAAAUUGGAAUGAUACAAAGAAGAGAAGCAUGGCCCCUGUGCAAGGAUGACAUGCAAAUUCAUGAAGCAGGGAAAAAAAAU